GCCUUCUUAGCUCAGGUUGGUAGAGCGCAUGACUUUUAAUCAUGUGGUCGUGAGUUCAACUCUCACAGAGGGUA
rnacentral:tRNA from 2 species